CCUGCUGUACGGCCAGCAGUUGCCUACUUGGACAGGCGCGGCGGGUAACUACCGGGUCUGAAGCUCCAACGACAAUGUACUCGUCGAAAGACACCACGCUCGGUGACGAUAUGUGGUGACGCUGCGAGCCGCAAUGUGGCGUCGAGG
rnacentral:ncRNA from 1 species